rnacentral:rRNA from 1 species
AUUGAACGCUGGCGGCAGGCUUAACACAUGCAAGUCGAGCGGAGAUGAGGUGCUUGCACCUUAUCUUAGCGGCGGACGGGUGAGUAAUGCUUAGGAAUCUGCCUAUUAGUGGGGGACAACAUUCCGAAAGGAAUGCUAAUACCGCAUACGUCCUACGGGAGAAAGCAGGGGAUCUUCGGACCUUGCGCUAAUAGAUGAGCCUAAGUCGGAUUAGCUAGUUGGUGGGGUAAAGGCCUACCAAGGCGACGAUCUGUAGCGGGUCUGAGAGGAUGGUCCGCCACACUGGGACUGAGACACGGCCCAGACUCCUACGGGGGGCAGCAGUGGGGAAUAUUGGACAAUGGGGGGAACCCUGAGCCAGCCAUGCCUCGUGUGUGAAGAAGGCCUUAUGGUUGUAAAGCACUUUAAGCGAGGAGGAGGCUACUGAGACUAAUACUCUUGGAUAGUGGACGUUACUCGCAGAAUAAGCACCGGCUAACUCUGUGCCAGCCGCCGCGGUAAGAC